rnacentral:rRNA from 1 species
CGGACGGGUGAGUAAUGUCUGGGAAACUGCCCGAUGGGGGGGGAUAACUACUGGAAACGGUAGCUAAUACCGCAUAACGUCGCAAGACCAAAGAGGGGACCUUAGGGCCUCUUGCCAUCGGAUGUGCCCAGAUGGGAUUAGCUAGUAGGUGGGGUAAUGGCUCACCUAGGCGACGAUCCCUAGCUGGUCUGAGAGGAUGACCAGCCACACUGGAACUGAGACACGGUCCAG